UUGAACGCUGGUGGCAUGCCUUACACAUGCAAGUCGAACGGCAGCACGGGGCCAACUCUGCUGACGAGUGGCGAACGGGUGAGUAAUAUAUUGGAACGUACCCUAGAGUGGGGGAUAACGUAGCGAAAGUUACGCUAAUACCGCAUACGAUCUACGGAUGAAAGUGGGGGCUCGCAAGACCUCAUGCUCAUGGAGCGGCCGAUGUCUGAUUAGCUAGUUGGUGAGGUAAAGGCUCACCAAGGCGACGAUCCGUAGCUGGUCUGGGAGGACGACCAGCCACACUGGGACUGAGACACGGCCCAGACUCCUACGGGAGGCAGCAGUGGGGAAUUUUGGACAAUGGGGGCAACCCUGAUCCAGCAAUGCCGCGUGAGUGAAGAAGGCCUUCGGGUUGUAAAGCUCUUUUGGCAGGGAAGAAACGGUGAAGGCUAAUAUCGUGUGCUAAUGACGGUACCUGAAGAAGAAGCACCGGCUAACUACGU
rnacentral:rRNA from 1 species